rnacentral:tRNA from 1 species
GGUCAUGUAGCUCAGUGGUAGAGCAUUGGCAUAUAUAGCCGGGAGUCACUGGUUCAAUUCCAGUCCUGACCG